AAGCCUCGGGGUGGACGGUACCUGCAGAAAAAGGCGCCGGCUAACUACGUGCCAGCAGCGCGGUAAUACGUAGGGGCGCAAGCGUUAUCCGGGAAUUAUGGGCGUAAAGAGCUCGUAGGCGGUCUGUCGCGUCUGCUGUGAAAUUCCGAGGCUCAACCUCGGGCUUGCAGUGGGUACGGGCAGACUAGAGUGCGGUAGGGGAGAUUGGAAUUCCUGGUGUAGCGGUGGAAUGCGCAGAUAUCAGGAGGAACACCGAUGGCGAAGGCAGAUCUCUGGGCCGUUACUGACGCUGAGGAGCGAAAGGGUGGGGAGCAAACAGGCUUAGAUACCCUGGUAGUCCACCCCGUAAACGUUGGGAACUAGUUGUGGGGUCCUUUCCACGGAUUCCGUGACGUAGCUAACGCAUUAAGUUCCCCGCCUGGGGAGUACGGCCGCAAGGCUAAAACUCAAAGGAAUUGACGGGGACCCGCACAAGCGGCGGAGCAUGCGGAUUAAUUCGAUGCAACGCGAAGAACCUUACCAAGGCUUGACAUACACCAGAACGGGCCAGAAAUGGUCAACUCUUUGGACACUGGUGAACAGGUGGUGCAUGGUUGUCGUCAGCUCGUGUCGUGAGAUGUUGGGUUAAGUCCCGCAACGAGCGCAACCCUCGUUCUAUGUUGCCAGCACGUUAUGGUGGGAACUCAUGGGAUACUGCCGGGGUCAACUCGGAGGAAGGUGGGGAUGACGUCAAAUCAUCAUGCCCCUUAUGUCUUGGGCUUCACGCAUGCUACAAUGGCCGGUACAAUGGGCUGCGAUACCGCGAGGUGGAGCGAAUCCCAAAAAGCCGGUCCCAGUUCGGAUUGAGGUCUGCAACUCGACCUCAUGAAGUCGGAGUCGCUAGUAAUCGCAGAUCAGCAACGCUGCGGUGAAUACGUUCCCGGGUCUUGUACACACCGCCCGUCAAGUCAUGAAAGUCGGUAACACACUGAAGACCGGUGGCCUA
rnacentral:rRNA from 1 species